rnacentral:tRNA from 1 species
GGAGACGUCGCAUAGUGGCCAAUUGCAACAGGUUGCUAACCUGUACCGGUUUUCCGGUCCGUGGGUUCAAAUCCCACCGUCUCCG